GAUGAACGCUGGCGGCGUGCUUAACACAUGCAAGUCGAACGAAGCAUUUAGAACGGAUUACUUCGGUUUGAAGUUCUUUAUGACUGAGUGGCGGACGGGUGAGUAACGCGUGGGUAACCUGCCUUAUACAGGGGGAUAACAGUUGGAAACGACUGCUAAUACCGCAUAAGCGCACGGUAUCGCAUGAUACAGUGUGAAAAACUCCGGUGGUAUAAGAUGGACCCGCGUCUGAUUAGCUUGUUGGUGAGGUAACGGCCCACCAAGGCGACGAUCAGUAGCCGGCCUGAGAGGGUGAACGGCCACAUUGGGACUGAGACACGGCCCAAACUCCUACGGGAGGCAGCAGUGGGGAAUAUUGCACAAUGGGGGAAACCCUGAUGCAGCGACGCCGCGUGAGUGAUGAAGUAUUUCGGUAUGUAAAACUCUAUCAGCAGGGAAGAUAAUGACGGUACCUGACUAAGAAGCACGGCUAAAUACGUGCCAGCAGCCGCGGU
rnacentral:rRNA from 1 species